CAUACCUAUUCGAAGGGAUAGGGUCGGUUUGGCCGGAUUUCACACAGGUGUUGCAUGGCUGUCGUCAGCUCGUGUCGUGAGAUGUUGGGUUAAGUCCCGCAACGAGCGCAACCCUCAUCCUUAGUUACCAUCAGGUUAUGCUGGGGACUUUAAGGAAACUGCCAGUGAUAAACUGGAGGAAGGUGGGGAUGAUGUCAAGUCAUCAUGGCCCUUAUGGAGUGGGCUACACACGUGCUACAAUGGCGAUUACAAUGGGCUGCAAGGUCGCAAGGCUGAGCUAAUCCUAAAAAAUCAUCUCAGUUCGGAUUGUUCUCUGCAACUCGAGAGCAUGAAGUUGGAAUCGCUAGUAAUCGUGGAUCAGCAUGCCACGGUGAAUACGUUCUCGGGUCUUGUACACACUGCCCGUCACGCCAUGGGAAUUGGUUUCACUCGAAGCU
rnacentral:rRNA from 1 species